CGGUUACCUUGUUACGACUUAGCCCCAGUCACCAGUUUUACCUUAGGGCGCUCCUUGCGGUUGCACACUUCAGGCACUCCCGGCUUCCAUGGCUUGACGGGCGGUGUGUACAAGGCCCGGGAACGUAUUCACCGCGCCAUGGCUGAUGCGCGAUUACUAGCGAAUCCAGCUUCAUGGAGUCGAGUUGCAGACUCCAAUCCGAACUGAGACAGGCUUUCAAGUUCCGCUUUGCGUCGCCGCAUUGCUUCUCUCUGUACCUGCCAUUGUAACACGUGUGUCGCCCCGGACGUAAGGGCCGUGCUGAUUUGACGUCAUCCCCGCCUUCCUCACAGCUUGCGCCGGCAGUCUCGCCAGAGUCCCCAACUUGACUUGCUGGUAACUGGCGAUGGGGGUUGCGCUCGUUAUGGCACUUAAGCCGACACCUCACGGCACGAGCUGACGACAACCAUGCAGCACCUCGACACAGGCUCCGAAGAGCUACCUCCUUUCAAAAGUAUUCCUGUGUCGUUUGAGCCCGGGUAAGGUUCCUCGCGUAUCAUCGAAUUAAACCACAUGUUCCUCCGCUUGUGCGGGCCCCCGUCAAUUCCUUUGA
rnacentral:rRNA from 1 species